GCUUAGCCCUCAACCUAGAUAGUACCAUAACCAACUAUCCGCCAAAGAAUUACAAGCAAAAGCUUGAAACUUAAAGGACUUGACGGUGUCCCAUAUCACCCUAGAGGAGCCUGUCCUAUAAUCGAUAGUCCACGUUAUACCUCACCCACCCUUGCACAAACCACAGCCUAUAUACCGCCGUCUCCAGCUUGCCUACUGAUAGACACCCAGCGAGCAAAACAGCCACACAACGCCAAUACGUCAGGUCAAGGUGUAGCUUAUGGGUGGGCAGAGAUGGGCUACAUUUUCUAACACUAGACCAUCACCACAGGACAACAUGAAAACUAAGCCCUGGGGGCGGAUUUAGCAGUAAGCUCAGGCUAGAAAUGCCUAACUGAAACUCGCUCUGGGACGCGU
rnacentral:rRNA from 1 species